CCAAUAGCGUAUAUUAAAGUUGUUGCAGUUAAAAAGCUCGUAGUUGAAUUUCGGGGUCAGUAGGUCGGUCGUGCCACUGGUAUGAACUGGUUUUACUGAUUCCUCCCUCUUGAAGAACUGUAAUGCCAUUAAUUUGGUGUUGCAGGGAAUCAGGACUGUUACUUUGAAAAAAUUAGAGUGUUUAAAGCAGGCUUUAGCUUGAAUACAUUAGCAUGGAAUAAUGAAAUAGGACGUUUGAUCCUAUUUUGUUGGGUUCUAGGAUUGACGUAAUGAUUAAUAGGGAUAGUUGGGGGAAUUAGUAUUCAAUUGUCAGAGGUGAAAUUCUUGGAUUUAUUGAAGACUAACUACUGCGAAAGCAUUUGCCAAGGAUGUUUUCAUUAAUCAAGAACGAAAGUUAGGGGAUCGAAGACGAUCAGAUACCGUCGUAGUCUUAACCAUAAACUAUGCCGACUAGGGAUCGGAUGAUGUUAAUUUUUUAAUGACUCAUUCGGCGCCUUACG
rnacentral:misc_RNA from 1 species